rnacentral:rRNA from 1 species
UAGUCCGCGCCGUAAACGAUGAUAACUGGUUUUGGGCGACAUAAAGUCCGUGACUGAGCGAAAGCAUUAAGUUAUCCACCUGGGGAGUACGCCGGCAACGGUGAAACUCAAAGGAAUUGACGGGGGCCCGCACAAGCGGAGGAACAUGUGGUUUAAUUCGAUGAUACGCGAGGAACCUUACCCGGGCUUAAAUGGGGCAUGGCCGGUCCGGAGACGGACCUUCCCUUCGGGGCAUGUCCCAAGGUGCUGCAUGGUUGUCGUCAGCUCGUGCCGUGAGGUGUCGGGUUAAGUCCCAUAACGAGCGCAACCCCUACCGUUAGUUGCCAUCGGGUUAUGCCGGGGACUCUAGCGGGACUGCCACCGUAAGGUGAGAGGAAGGCGGGGAUGACGUCAAAUCAGCACGGCCCUUACGUCCGGGGCUACACACGUGUUACAAUGGCCGGUACAGAGGGGCAGCCACCUGGGCGACAGGGGCGCGAAUCCCGGAAAGCCGGUCCAAGUUCGGAUCGGAGUCUGC